rnacentral:lncRNA from 1 species
ACAGAAUAUUUGAGAUGCUCAAAAGGAUCACUGUUGCUCAGCAAGGUCGAGAGGAGAGAAGGGAAUUACCCGACCCUCCCCCACUACCACAGUUUGAGCCACUGCUGCAGCUACCGGAUCCUGAGCCACCCCGGCAAGAGCCUGCUCCUCCACAGUACCACCCGGCACCACCGCCGCAAUAUAAUUUGGUACCUCAGCCAUAGUAUUGCCCGGCACCGCCACAGUCUAAUCCGGUGCCCCCACUAUAUCAGCAGGUGCCACCACAGGGCCCCCCAGUCUAUCCUCAGCCCAGCCCAGUCCCCCUUCCACGGGACCCAGCUCCUUCCCUGAUUGACCCGGGCUACGUAGAGAGGUACAUGAGACUAAACCCUUCC